rnacentral:rRNA from 1 species
UGGGGAAUUUUCCGCAAUGGGCGAAAGCCUGACGGAGCAAUACCGCGUGAGGGAAGAAUGCCUGUGGGUUGUAAACCUCUUUUCUUGGGGAAGAAUUUUGACGGUACUCAAGGAAUAAGCAUCGGCUAACUCCGUGCCAGCAGCCGCGGUAAUACGGGGGAUGCAAGCGUUAUCCGGAAUCACUGGGCGUAAAGCGUUUGUAGGUGGUUCAAUAAGUCUGCUGUUAAAUAUUAGGGCUUAACCCUAAACAAGCAGUGGAAACUGUUAAACUAGAGUAUGGUAUGGGUAGAGGGAAUUCCCAGUGUAGCGGUGAAAUGCGUAGAUAUUGGGAAGAACACCAGAAGCGAAGGCGCUCUACUGGGCCAUUGCUGACACUCAGAAACGAAAGCUAGGGGAGCGAAUGGGAUUAGAUACCCCCGUAGUCC